AUUGAACGCUGGCGGCAGGCCUAACACAUGCAAGUCGAGCGGAGCGGCGGACGGGUGAGUAAUGCCUAUGAAUCUGCCUGGUAGUGGGGGAUAACGUCCGGAAACGGGAGCUAAUAUCGCAUACUAUUACAUGAGCCUAGAUCGGAUUAGCUAGUUGUUGGGGUAAGGGCCUACCAAGGCGACGAUCCGUAACUGGUUUGAGAGGAUGAUCAGUCACACUGGAACUGAGACACGGUCCAGACUCCUACGGGAGGCAGCAGUGGGGAAUAUUGGACAAUGGGCGCAAGCCUGAUCCAGCCAUGCCGCGUGUGUGAAGAAGGUCUUCGGAUUGUAAAGCACUUUAAGUUGGGAGGCGUUACCAGCAGAAGAAGCACCGGCUAACUUCGUGCCAGCAGCCGCGGUAAUUC
rnacentral:rRNA from 1 species